rnacentral:lncRNA from 1 species
AAGUUAGGUGCAUCAAGGGCGAGGAUGGUAGAGUUCUGAUGGGAGAGUCUCAAGUCAAGCAGAGGUGGCAGGCGUACUUUCGAGACUUACUUAACGAGGAGGGGGAUCGUAACAUAGAGAGUUAGGUGCAUCAAGGGCGAGGAUGGUAGAGUUCUGAUGGGGGAGUCUCAAGUCAAGCAGAGGUGGCAGGCGUACUUUCGAGACUUACUUAACGAAGAGGGAGAUCGUAACAUAGAGCUAGGGAAGU